UACGGGGGGGGGCAAGCGUUGUUCGGAAUUACUGGGCGUAAAGGGCGUGUAGGCGGCCAACUAAGUCCGACGUGAAAUCCCCAGGCUUAACCUGGGAACUGCGUCGGAUACUGGAUGGCUUGAAUCCGGGAGAGGGAUGCAGAAUUCCAGGUGUAGCGGUGAAAUGCGUAGAUAUCUGGAGGAAUACCGGUGGCGAAGGCGGCAUCCUGGACCGGCAUUGACGCUGAAGCGCGAAAGCUAGGGGAGCCAAACGGG
rnacentral:rRNA from 1 species